AAUAUAAUGUAAUGGAUUAGGUGCUCUAAUUUCUCUUAAUAAUUACCAUUUGUCACGCAAUUCCUAGAGUCCAGACGAUUCCAGCCAAUGAUACUAUACCAGAUAUUGAAAGGCGUCUCGCGGUCAAAUGGAACGACGAACUCUUAAACAGCGCACUGAAAUGAAUAUGGGAAUCAACAACUAUAAUUUCUAUGCAAUAAUGAUCUAGAUUAUUAUUUAAAGGCAUUUAAUUGAGCACAUUGUAGCCUAAAUUACCGAAGGUGCUAUAAAUGUGCAGUCGUGAGUGAUCCUUGUAACAUAAUGUGUGGUAUUCAUUGUCAUACAUAGGUCUAUACGUUCAAAAACUAUUGAAAAUGAAAUAUAAUUUAACACACCUAUAUAUUGGUUACAAAUUCUACAGUCGAUGCCUAAUUAAAAUUGCUACGUAAACAAGAUAAAUACAUGAACAAUUAAUAUACGAUAAAAAAAUAAAAAUAAAUAAAAAAUGUACGUAGAAAUGACAACCUUCCUCUCUUUUCUGAAAUCAGUUAAAAAUAUAUAAUCACUUCGUCUAGGAAUCGAAGAAUCAAUCUAAAUAAUGUUCCAAUUUCCCACUCAUUCCUACGCUUAAAACAAACCCUCAUUAUGUAACAUACCAUAGGAUUACUAUGUUUAUGUGAUAAACACAGUAAUUAUUCACCUCGUUACAUCCAAGAAUAGAUUUACCUUAUUCUGUUUAAAAUUGCAUGCAUAAAAUAACAUUCUGUUUGCGGACUGAGCUUGACCUCCUUAGAGGAUUGAAGACUGAUAAGUGACGAUAGCGAGUGCACUACAGUACGCGAAUGUAUAAAUAACUGAGACCUUCGGCCGUGGGCGACACUUUGUUUUUAUUUAUUCUAGAAACUGCGCUUUCAUUGAACAUCGGAAAUUCAAGAUAUCGAUGUCAUUGAACUACCCUUAAUAUAUACAAAGGCCCUGUACGUUAACGUCGGCUUUUUGUAAAUAUUUGCUGGUGCGUAGUAAAUUGUACUUCCACCGAACUGCAUCGGGUAUUAACCUAUACCUGUUGACGGUCCUACGCAGAAGGAUUCACUGUCCUGAAGUCUGGCAGCCUUCACUACACCAUGCUGAAAAGUGUUCGAAACUACAGAAGAAAAUUAUAAAAUAAAAAAACCUAAUAAAAUCCGAAAA